AGCGAACGCUGGCGGCAGGCUUAACACAUGCAAGUCGAACGGGCUUCUUCGGAAGUCAGUGGCAGACGGGUGAGUAACACGUGGGAACGUGCCCUUCGGUUCGGAAUAACUCAGGGAAACUUGAGCUAAUACCGGAUACACCCUUUUGGGGAAAGGUUUACUGCCGAAGGAUCGGCCCGCGUCUGAUUAGCUUGUUGGUGGGGUAACGGCCUACCAAGGCGACGAUCAGUAGCUGGUCUGAGAGGAUGAUCAGCCACACUGGGACUGAGACACGGCCCAGACUCCUACGGGAGGCAGCAGUGGGGAAUAUUGGACAAUGGGCGCAAGCCUGAUCCAGCCAUGCCGCGUGAGUGAUGAAGGCCUUAGGGUUGUAAAGCUCUUUUGUCCGGGACGAUAAUGACGGUACCGGAAGAAUAAGCCCCGGCUAACUUCGUG
rnacentral:rRNA from 1 species